GUAGGUCAUGUUUAAAGAUAAUGGGGUUACUAGAUACAAGGAUGCUGAACCUCUAAAUCAGUUUUUGUGUAAGAACUUCUCAGGAACAUUCACACUGGACUUUGCAUGAGUGAAAGUAACACAAAGAGUUUGCUAUUACAAUUACACCCCCUAAUAGAGAAACCAGUAUCUUGAAGUGAGAUGCAGAUACAACAAAAAUUAGAAUAUGUGACAUUAGCUUAGGAGUGGGCAGCUCUAUUGAGUAGCAGAAUAAAGCAUGUUGAUUAAUUGGUGAUUACAAUGAAAAGGCAUCUAAAAACUCUCCACCUCUGGUAGCUUGGAAGGCAGAGAUUGUAGUUCUAGAGAUGUUUGGAAAGUAGAUAUGAGUAGCAUAUGUUAUUAUUACUGAUGGUUUCAGCAAAGUAUUACAAGCAAGACAUAAGCUAAGGAACUAACUGGCAGGUUUAAAGUAGAAUUGAAAGGGAAUAGAAAAGGUUAGAAAAAUAAGUAAGACAUGGUAUUUGAAAGACUUUGAAGAACCAAGACCCAGUGAGAUUUCUGAGCUGCACGGUGACUCAGAAUUGUGCCAAAGAUCAAAUGAAGGACAUGCUCUGUCAGCUCAGGCUUGACAGGCUCAAGAUGAUCCGACUUUUGGUUGAGACAGAGAGAGGAAUGAUAGCAAAGUAGAAAAGAAAUGGAGCAUGUUUGAGAACAAAGUCUGGCAGUUUGGGCUCCUUGUGAGCCAUGAUUCUGACUGGAAGCUUCUUGUACUUGAAAUAGUUUGCCAAGUUUUUAAAAUAAUUAUGCUGCCAAAUAGCCACAAAUCCAUGUUAAAAAGUCUUUGACUCUGCAAUUCAUGGAACAACCUUUAGACACCUGUAUUUCCAUGAGUAUGAGGUGGGUGCUGUAAGUUGAGCAGCAAAGAAAGACUUCUAUAUAUGGGCCUGAGAAGACAAUUGUCAUUAUUCAAAUAUCCCACAACAUAAACCAGAUGCUGUGACUGGAUGGGAUUUGGGGUAUUCAAUUGGGGAAGGUGAGCAUAUGGAGAUAGUAUGAAAGGACUAUUUGGUGAUCAGAAAGUAGAUUAUUUAAAAAAAUACACCUAUAUGCUAAUCAAACUGUUUCCAUUUUCCCCUGGAUGCAUAGCUAAAGCUACAUUGUUCGGUCACCAUUUAAGAUAGUUUGGGAUCAUAUGAUUAAUUUUGGUCCAUAAAAUCUCCUGCCUGACCCUCUACACUUACUCACUUAUUGAAGAGGGAGAUGGAGGCGUUAGUGGAUGAUAGGCACAGUUUAUAGGCAAACCACUCAGGAAGGGAUGAGCAACAGAUACAUUUUAAUUACAUUGAACCACUGAGACCUCUGGAUUUUUUUGAUUGUUUUGUUAUUGUUAUUGCAUAAGUUAGCAUUAAUAACCUUGACUAUAGAGAUAAUUUUUAGCAAAAAUAAUUCCAUUUUAUACCAAAAUUAAAAUAUUGUUUUAAAGAAAAAUAUAUAGUAUAUUUUAGAUACACAAAUACAUAUUUUAUUUAUUUAAUUUUAAUUUUAUUUUAUUUUAUUUUUUGCUUUUUUAGGGCCACACCCACAGCAUAUGGAAGUUCCCAGGCUAGGGCUCAGAUCAGAGCUAUAGCUGCCAGCCUACACCACAGCCACAGCAAAGCAAGAUCUGAGCCACAUCUGCAACCUACACCACGGCUCAUGGCAAUGCUGGAUCCUUAACCCAUUGAGCAAGGCUAGGGAUUGAACCAGCAUCCUUAUGGAUAACUGAUUGGGUUCAUUACUGCUGAACCACAACGGGAACUCCAUAGAAACAUAUGUUUUAGAUAUAUGAAUGUAUAACAAUUAUUUUAACUUACUAUGAAGAGGAUGAACCUUGGUAAUAUUUUUUGAAAGACAUCAACAUUCAUAAUUUUUAGGUGGCUACUAUUUAAAACAAACAAACAAACAAACAAACUCCUAUUACUCUUGUUUCAGCAAGACAUCAGAAGAUCUAGUCUAUUUGGCAAACACUGAUUGUUACUGGGGCCUAAUCUUCCCCACAAUUCAAGGAACACAAAAUAACAUGUGGAUUUUGGACAUGUGAUUUUAGGUAACUGUCAAGAAGUAAUUAAUGACGACUUCAGAAGAAGCUGUCAUGGGGUAUCUAUGAUGUCUUUAAAUGAAUAACAGUUUAUCCUGCUCAUAUUGUUUUCCACAAAGACUGCUGUUCCAUUCUAUUUGAACUUAAUUGGUAUAAUUGAUAACAGUUAGAGCUUGGAGUGCCAUUUUAAUCAUGUAGGUACAGCUUUCCUGUCAGAAAAAAUAAAAUAGCUGCUGUGAGUUAUCUGUUAUUACUGGAGAGACGGAAAGGUAAAAUAAAUGACUUUUUUAUUUUAGGCUGAGACUCUGGGACUUCUGAAUCACAACUGGAAAUUUAUUAAUGAUAUUAAAAAGUUUGGGCUCAUCUCCAAGCAAUUAAUAAAAACUAGUUGGUAUAUAAUUUAGCAUAAAGAAAAAGGUGAGAAAAUGAGUUAGAUACAGGUUAGUGAUACACACAAAUGAUCCAAGAAGAACGUAUUUGAAAAUGUUCCAACCAUUAGGGUAACCCCUAGUAAAUUAGAUUUUGAUGACAAACUUGUGCUCUCACUACCUGAAUAUUUAAUUUUUAGUUUGAGGUGAAGACGGAAAAUGGUCUUAAGUAUAAAUAUGAUUACUCCCAUUCUCAGUAAUUUGAGUGGUUUGUGCAAAAGCGCAUGUGAGGGGGAGGGAGGGGGCUGCACACUGAAAAUAGAUACUGCAACGUUACCACUGAAUAUUUAAUUAUUGAGCGAUAAUAAGCUGGUUCUUCUAAAAGAGCACUGUGCCUUUCACUUUUAUCAGCAUUCUUCGGCAUGUUCUCUUCAACUCUACAAACUCUAGAUCUCAGGGUUUUCCUCAGGGGAUUGAGGAUGUUUUACUUUCUCUUCGCACUGUGGAAUUUUGAAUUCUAGCUUCUGUGGCAUUUCCUAUUCCUUGUUUCAUUGGUUUUUGUUACUGUUCUUUCUUUUUUUUUUUUUUAAUUCGGGAAACAGUCUUACUCCAUCAACCAGAUUUUUAACAGUUGGAUCACUUUCCAUUAUUAGUUCAGCACAUAAAAGGCUAAGCAAUCCACAGCCCGGGUACUGUCUCACUUUUCUUCGUUCACGCUGCUCUAACUCCUGGUAAGAGCAUCUCCCACCACGCCGGGUUAACUCUACCCAGGUAGAAAGAGACCAAAAACACUCCAGGACCUAGGAUUUUGCCUGGCAUGGGGUACUUCAGACACAAAAAUAAAUAAAUAAAAAUAAAUAAACUGUAACUAUUACACAACCCAAAUGUAGCUAAGAUUUCUCUGGAAGUUCUUUUACUUAGCUUAAUCAAUAGCUAGGCAAAUCCCUACUCUACGCGAUAUUUUCCUGGGGCUUCCUGUCCCACCCCUCCCCUGGCUCAUCUCUGAUUCAGAUCCCCUGAAGUUUAUCUGUACUCUGCUAUCCUCUUUCCUUUCGCACAGAGGGGAAAAAAGGAAGUGUUCACACUCACGAAGGCUGCUUUUUUCUCACUAACUCCUUGUUUUUACCAUUUCCCAUCCCGGAAUUUUGCUUCCAAAUUUAUUCUCUUCCUGUCUAGCACAAUCUGCCUCUUCAACUACACUCAUGAUGCUCUGCCUGCAAAGACUCACAGAGCUUGACGACUCUGAAAAACAAAACCAGAGGAGCAAGAGGUAUUUAAUUUUGUUCUACUGCACUUCCUGCCAGUCUUUCUCCUUUGUGCAAUGGUACAACACCUUUACACAGAAUGAUUGCAACCAUUCACCGUGUUAUUUCUGUCCCUUCCUUGCUCAAUUCUAUGUACUGACUUCUAAACCCAUCACUCUCAUGAAAUCACCCUCUCCAAAUUUCUAGUGAUUUCCUAAUUAUAAAAUCCCAUGAUCAUUUCUGUAUUCUUCUUUUUAAGGCAUACUCCUGGAUUUGAUGGUUUUUAAAUUUUUUUUUAAUUUAAUUUAAUCUUAUUUUAUGACUACACUCACAGCUUAUGUAAGUUCCCAGGCCACAGGUUGAAACCCAGCUGCAACGGCAACUUGAGCUGCAGCUGUGUCAAUGCUGAAUCCUUUAACCCACUGAGCUGGGCCAGGGAUCGAACCCGUAGCUUUGCAGCGAUCCGAGCCAUUGCCAUCGGAUUCUUAAUCCACAGUGCCACAGCAAGAGCUCCUGAAAUUUUUUUUUUUUUUAAUCUUCACCUACUUAUCCAAACCUACUCUCAUUCUAUAGGAGGCAUGACCUGUCUUGAUUCAUUACCUUUGCCUUAACUUUUUUUUUUCCCCCUGUGUCCUCCUUGGCUGGCUCCUCUUUCCUCCAUAUCACUUUGAUUUCAGAAAACACUGUUUUGGUCUUUUGCUAUUACACUCCUCAUUUUGUAUUCUUGUUCCCAGGAGUUCAUGGAUUAUUUUCAUUUCAAGUAAGUACACUUCAAAACAAGCAUCAUUAUUUCUGUUCUCACAUCAGGACACUGGAGACAUGUUACCAAUUUCUAAUUCAAUUGUCCUUUAUGAAGAUGGCACAUUUACAAAAUACAGAUACAACUUUCCCCUCAACCUCACACCAGCUUACACCACCAUGCUAAUCAUUUCCCAGGCUCAAGAGUGUUUUUUGUUUUUGUUUUUCCUUUCUUUAGGCUGAACCUGAGAAAUAUGUAAGUCCCCAGGCUAGGGGACGAAUAGGAGCUGCAGCUGCUGGCCUACACCAAAGCCACAACAACUCCAUAUCUGAGCCACAUCUGUGACCAACACCACAACUCAUACCACAGCCUACAGAAAUGCCCGAUCCUUAACCCACUGAGCAGGGCCAAGGAUCGAACCUGCCUCCUCAGGGAUAUUAGUUGGGUUUGUUACUGCUAAGCCAAAGUGGAAACUCUCAAAAGUGUUUUUAACUCAUUCCUUUAUUUACCCUAUUGGGUGAGAUGACAAAUUCUCAAAUUUCUACUUCAAAAAUUUGUUUGCUUAGGGUAGUUGAGGAAUAGGUCCAGAAUGGGAUGGAAAGUUGAACCUGAAGAGCCUCCUACCCCCCAAAAGAUAGACAUAAUAUUCUUGAAUGCAAAAGUGGCUUCGGGGGGACACUGUGAUGAUCUGAAUGCAAUCUUUGCAAGACAAUGGGAAAUAUUUUAGAACUGAUUUCUUACCUCUGGUUUAUAGUUAAUCACAUGUUGGGAAGAAAUGUUAAUAUGCUCUAUUCUCCACUUUUCUAAAGGCUAUGACUCUUUCACCUUUAGUAUCAAUCAGAGUAGAUCCUUUGACUUCUGUUUUACAAAUCAACAGUUUUUAUUUAUAAGAACUCCUUUAAUUUAUUGCCUCCAAGACUGCAAACUUGGCUGCAUAUGCCCCAUUCUUUUCCUUUCCUUUUCUGUUUUUCUUCACCACUAAGGCAAACUUUUACCUGCCUUUUAAAGAUUCAGAGUCUCUACCUUGCCAUACUUUACCAAUUCAUCCUGGGCAGGAUUUUAAUAAACUCUAGCUUGUACAAAUAAAAACAAAUAAACAAACCAAAAGAAAUCUCUCCCCAGAUACCACACUUUUCUCUCUAUUUCCUUUCUUUCUUUCUUUUUUUUUUUUUUUUUUUGGUUUUUAGGGUUGCACCCAUGGCACUGGAGGUUCCCAGGCUAGGGAUCAAAUCAGAGCUACAGCUGCCGGUCUACACCAGAGUUCAUGGCAACGCCAGAUCCUUAACCCACUGAGCGAGGCCAGGAAUCAAACACUCAAACUCAUGUUUCCUAGUCAGAUUUGUUUCUGCUGUGCCAUGACGGGAACUCCUCUAUUUCCUUUCAUUUGAUAAAUUUUGAUAAGAUUAAUACAUAUUCACAUUUCAACUUAGACGUUUUUUUCCUAUUUAUGUUUUCUCCUCCGUUUAGGGCUCUUCUUUUCAAUCUUCCAGAGGUUUUUCUUCUGCCUGUCUACUCAUAGACAGUGUUAUCAUUGGUUCUACCGGGAGCCCAUUUCUUUCCUCUGUCACCACCCCCUGGCUAAUCUUGUCCAUUCCUACAUUCAGAUGUAGACUAUUUCUUUCAAUAAAUGUGUAUUGAGGGAGUUCCUGUUGUGGUUCAGUGGUAAGGAAUCCAACUAGUAUCCAUGAGGAUGUGAGUUGGAUUCCUGGCCUCGAUCGGUGGGUUAAGUAUCCGACCUUGAUCUGAACUGUGGUACAGGUUGCAGCCCAUGUUGCUGUGGCUGGGGGGUAGUCUGGCAGCUGUAGCUCCAACUCGACC
rnacentral:lncRNA from 1 species